ensembl:lncRNA novel transcript
AUGACAUCUUGUAGUAGGGAUUGAAGAGAGACCAGCUUCAUCUCCACUCGACCAACAUGAUGCAGGUUUUCUACUGGAAUGCCGAGUUAUUUCAGGACAAGGGGGAAGAGCUACAGGCCAGUCAACAACACCAGCUGCCCAUCCCAGCAGGAUCACUCUAAGGCAUCCCCUUUACCAUGCAUCACUUGGGGCUGAAUCCUUGUGCAUUUGCUGUCUGGAGAACUGAGUAACGAAAAUGCUGGGGCUGGGCCCAAGCCUGAUAUUCAAGCAGACCUUGAUAAAGCGGUACAUUUCUGUGCAAGCAAUCAUUCCAAUUGAUUGAAUAAAAACAUCCUGCAGGAUGUUUAUCAGGGAAAGAAAGCUUGGCUCUCACAAGGCAGAUUGGUCAGUAUCCUGAUAUUGCAGCAAAAGGUGCCAAUUUUUUUUUUCUUUUUAGAAUCACAUUUGAUGUGGAAGGUGAAAUAAGGUUUCACUGAAGCAAGAGAACAAAUGGGGAAGAUAAUCUUUAAGAAAAAGCUCCAGACCAUUUUAAACAAACUGU